UACGAAGGGGACUAGCGUUGUUCGGAAUCACUGGGCGUAAAGCGCACGUAGGCGGAUAUGUCAGUCAGGGGUGAAAUCCCGGGGCUCAACCUCGGAACUGCCUUUGAUACAGCAUGUCUUGAGUCCGAUAGAGGUGGGUGGAAUUCCUGGUGUAGAGGUGAAAUUCGUAGAUAUUAGGAAGAACACCGGUGGCGAAGGCGGCCCACUGGAUCGGUACUGACGCUGAGGUGCGAAAGCGUGGGGAGCAAACAGG
rnacentral:rRNA from 1 species